AGAACGAACGCUGGCGGCAGGCCUAACACAUGCAAGUCGAACGCCCGUAGCAAUACGAGAGUGGCAGACGGGUGAGUAACACGUGGGAACCUUCCCUAUGGUUCGGAAUAGCUCAGGGAAACUUGGGGUAAUACCGGAUAAGCCCUUCGGGGGAAAGAUUUAUCGCCAUUGGAUGGGCCCGCGUCGGAUUAGCUAGUUGGUGAGGUAACGGCUCACCAAGGCGACGAUCCGUAGCUGGUCUGAGAGGAUGAUCAGCCACACUGGGACUGAGACACGGCCCAGACUCCUACGGGAGGCAGCAGUGGGGAAUAUUGGACAAUGGGCGCAAGCCUGAUCCAGCCAUGCCGCGUGAGUGACGAAGGUCUUCGGAUUGUAAAGCUCUUUUGGCGGGACGAUAAUGACGGUACCCGCAGAAUAAGCCCGGCUAACUACGUGCCAGCAGCCGC
rnacentral:rRNA from 1 species